UGAGUUUCGAUUAGAAGAGUUUGAAUCUAAAAAAUCUUGCAACUCCAAACGACGUAUAUCGACACUUAGGACCGCUAGAAAAAAACUUCCAUGCAGUAAAAAACUAACGACGAAAGAACAGGCAAGAAACAAACAAAACUCCUGCACCAGAGGAUAAACAAAGAAGCUCAAGACAAAAAGAGUCAAUAACUUCUUAAGUAAGGAUGAAAAGGAGGCAAUAAUAGUACUAGAAAACCCUUCCAUUAUACGAGAAGGAACACGCUUCGUCUGAGGAGAAGCGAUUACUGCGCGUAAAAGU